GCCUGGUUAGCUCAGUUGGUUAGAGCUCUGUACUCGUGUUCCGGUGGUUGUGGGUUUGAGUCCCACACCAGGCG